GUAUGGGAGUGAGAAUGUUGGCAUGAGUAGCGAGAUGUGGGUGAGAAUCCCACAGGCCGUAAACCCAAGGUUUCCAGGGGAAGGUUCGUCCGCCCUGGGUUAGUCGGGACCUAAGCUGAGGCCGAAAGGCGUAGGUGAUGGACAACAGGUUGAUAUUCCUGUACUACCGAUAACCGUUUGAGAGAAGGGAUGACACAGUAGGAUAAGCUAAGCACACUGUUGGUUAUGUGUGCCCAAGCAUUGAGGCAGUCAAAGUAGGCAAAUCCGCUUUGAUAAUGCUGGGAUGUGAUGGGGAGCGAAAUUUAGUAGCGAAGUAGCUGAUUUCACACUGUCAAGAAAAGUCUCUAUCGAGGUUAAAGGUACCCGUACCGCAAACCGACACAGGUGGGUGAGGAGAGUAUCCUAAGGCCAGCGAGAGAACUGUUGUUAAGGAACUCGGCAAAAUGACCCCGUAACUUAGGGAUAAGGGGUGCCACCAUCAGGUGGCCGCAGAGAAUAGGCCCAAGCGACUGUUUACCAAAAACAUAGGUUUCUGCUAAGUCGCAAGACGAUGUAUAGGAGCUGACGCCUGCCCGGUGCUGGAAGGUUAAGGGGAUCUGUUAGAGCAAUCGAAGCAGUGAACUUAAGCCCCAGUAAACGGCGGCCGUAACUAUAACGGUCCUAAGGUAGCGAAAUUCCUUGUCGGGUAAGUUCCGACCCGCACGAAAGGCGUAACGAUUUGGGCACUGUCUCAACAACAGACUCGGUGAAAUUGUAAUUCCGGUGAAGAUGCCGGAUACCUGCGACAGGACGGAAAGACCCCAUGGAGCUUUACUGUAGCUUGACAUUGGGUCUUGGUACUACAUGUACAGGAUAGGUGGGAGGCUUUGAAACCAGGACGCCAGUUUUGGCGGAGCCAUCCUUGGGAUACCACCCUUGUAGUACUGGGACUCUAACCAUAGGCCAUGAAUCUGGUCUUGGGACACUGUCAGGUGGGCAGUUUGACUGGGGCGGUCGCCUCCCAAAAGGUAACGGAGGCGCUCAAAGGUUCUCUCAGUACGGUCGGAAAUCGUACGUAGAGUGUAAAGGCAAAAGAGAGCUUGAUUGCAAGACAUACAGGUCGAGCAAGGAUGAAAAUCGGACUUAGUGAUCCGGUGGUUCUGCGUGGAAGGGCCAUCGCUCAACGGAUAAAAGCUACCCUGGGGAUAACAGGCUUAUCUCCCCCAAGAGUCCACAUCGACGGGGAGGUUUGGCACCUCGAUGUCG
rnacentral:rRNA from 1 species